AUAAAAAAUCCAAAACAACACCAGCACUAUCAAAAUUAAAAGAAAUAAAAAUGAAGAGACACAUAUGGAGAAUAGCAUAACCAUUUUCUCCAUCAUCGACUGAAGUUCGUCGGCGACCAGUGCUUCCGUCGGCUACUAUUACUUCCAUCGGCCUCCUUUUUUUCCAUUGUCAGCCCUAAAGUUGUUCAACAUCAAUCGGUUUAGGGUAAAUAGAAGUUGCGACUUUUAUUCUUGAACAGAGCUUCGAUUCUUCUUCUUCUUCAACAUAGCUUCGACUUGCAGCCCUAACAGAUUUGUUAAGUUGAUCCCAGUCCUCCUAAGGAAGAUGGCUCAGAAGAAUGCCCUUGUUCGGAAAUUUCCUAGUGUUGAAAUUCUUGGUUGCACAACCGUGAUUUGUUCUCAGCUUCAUUCUUCAUCUCAAUUGAUGAAAUGAUAAUAUGACAAUGGAUUUUGAUGAGAGGUACUUCCAUGGGAAACCACAAAAUAGCUUCCACAAAGCAGUGAAUAUCCCUGAUGUGGCAGUUUUUCCAAGGAAUGCAGAGGAAGUGUCCAAGAUAGUCAAAUCUUGUAACAAGUAUAAGGGACCCCAUUUGUAGAUUUUGGCUCAAUCAAUAAGGCCUACUUGUUUCAUGUUAGUGGUGAAGCUUGUGCAGGCUCACCUUAUUGCUUUACUUCGGGUCUGUGCGGUCCUCUCUGAUUGAAUGCCUUGGAGUGGAGACUUUCUACUAGUUUCCUUUCUUGUGAGCCCCUCU